CUACGGGAUGCUCCAGUGAGGAAUAUUGGUCAAUGGGCGAAAGCCUGAACCAGCCAUGCCGCGUGAAGGAUGACGGCCCUAUGGGUUGUAAACUUCUUUUAUACGGGAAGAAACACCUCUACGUGUAGAGGUUUGACGGUACCGUACGAAUAAGCAUCGGCUAACUCCGUGCCAGCAGCCGCGGUAAUACGGAGGAUGCAAGCGUUAUCCGGAUUUAUUGGGUUUAAAGGGUACGUAGGCGGAAACUUAAGUCAGUAGUGAAAUCCCGCAGCUUAACUGUGGAACUGUUAUUGAUACUGGUUUCUCGAAUAUUGUUGAGGUAGGCGGAAUAAGUAAUGUAGCGGUGAAAUGCUUAGAUAUUACUUAGAACACCGAUUGCGAAGGCAGCUUACUAAGCAAUUAUUGACGCUGAGGUACGAAAGCGUGGGGAGCGAACAGGAUUAGAUACCCCGGUAGUC
rnacentral:rRNA from 1 species